UACUAACAAUUGGAUACCACGAAAAGGGGGUAAAAUUUUAAAUUCUUAACGUUUAAAAAAAAAAAGUUAGUGAGGGAGGGAGAUAUGUCUCCAACUUCAGCAAUUUUUGCAAUUCGUUCCAGUAAUUGGCAGCAGAGAACUGGACGAAAAGGCGACCAAAGUGGGUGUUAGCUUUGGGGAUGACCAGUGAGAUAUAUCUGCUUGAGCACGUGCUACGGGUGGGUGUUGUUAUGUUGACCAGUGAGCUCAGAUAAGGCGAAGCUUUACCUAGCAAAGACUUAUAGAUGACCUGGAGCCAGUGGGUCUGGCGAUGAAUAUGUAGCGAGGGCCAACCGACGAGAGCAUACAGGUUGCAGUGGUGGGUGGUAUAAGGGGAUUUGGUUACAAAGUGGAUGGUACUGUGAUAGACUGCUUCCAGUUUGCUGAGUGCCUUCUCAGAGAAGCUUGUUAGACAUUCCUCUUGGCUUCUGUUCUGGAGAUGUUCUCUGUGAAUUCUUGUAAUAAACUGAAAUGAUUUAGAUUAAUAUGAUUGACUGCUCUCCCUUUUGUUCACCUCGAAAAUCCCCUUUACAACCAUUAACCUUUUUGAUAACACAAACUUAAAUUAUGAACUGCAUACUUGAUGGACUCAAUUAUCAUUACUAACCAUAUUGUCACGUUUGUCCUUCCUAGCAUGGGAAUCUAGUGAUUACAAUGCACAGGAGGUUGGUGGGACCUUAAUUUGGGAGAAUGAGCUUGUGGUAAUGGCUGGAGCUGAAUGAGUGGAAUACUAUCACACACAUGGUUUUCAGGUGUUUGAUGCCAUUCCAUUUGCUCCAUUCCAGACAUUAUUAUGAGCUCUUCUCCCCUCAGCAGCCUCCUGUGCUUUCAUGUAUGUCUCCAACCACAGGGAGUGCUGCCCAGGGGUUAGAUGCCCAACGGGAGAGGAAAGAUAGGUCAUUAAGCUGGUCCAGGAGUCUGUGUCCUCUCUCCCCCACGCCUCCCUCCUCAACGUAGACCCUGGCUUUGUGCACUCGGACGGCAGCAUCUCCCACCAGGACCUGUAUGACUACCUCCACCUCACCCCCCAGGGCUACCAGGCUGUGUGCCAGCCGCUACAUGCCCACCUCAAGGGCCUGCUGGAGAAACAGGCUGAAAACUGAAGGCCAAAGACCAACUGAUGGCCGAUGACCGAAUGACUCACUCACUACAUCGGAGGUUGUGGUGCUGUGGGUGGGCACCAAUAAUCAUGGUCACACUGCAGAGCAGAUCUGUGGAGGCAUCAUGGCCAUAGUCCAACUCAUCAAAGACAAGCUGACUUGCAGAGGACACACUGAUAAAUAUCUCUGACACUGUGAUUCUGUAGCCGCUGAUGUUGUGACUUCCUACAAGCCUCUCGGGCUGGUGUUUACUCAACACUCAUUGCUGUGGGAUUAAUAUAUAAGUGCCUUCUCAGAGAAGCUUGUUAGACAUUCCUCUUGGCUUCUGUUCUGGAGAUGUUCUCUGUGAAUUCUUGUAAUAAACUGAAAUUAUUUAGAUUAA